AUAGAACUCCUGUUUCCGGUUUUAUUUUGUGACGUUACAAAUCUACAAGAAAAACCUGAAGGCAAGAAUAAUGGGUACCUGAAAAGCCACACACGUGAUUCAUUACUAUGACCAUCUUGCCUCCAGAGUAGCUAACUAGCGGGCCUGCACCAGCAGUUCCCUUGCCUGUGGCACUUUAUCAACGGACAAUACAUUACUCACUUGGGACGACUGAGAAGCUGCCAUACACCAGGCCACUGAGAUGUGAUGGUGGCCACCAAUCCAAGGAUGGUCCUUGCUUUACAGAGAUCACUGUCUGGGGCCUGGGAGUGCAUGUUCCCUUACAAACUGUGAUGGGCGUUCUACAGGAAGGUUCUAGUUUCUCUACUUACCUGGGGACCUGGCCUAGUCCAGAGGAGUAGAACUUAUCUGUGGAGAAAUACAAUCAGUCUGUGAUGGAAGCAAAGUUGGACAGCUAAGGCUAUAUAUAACCCCAUAAGAGCCAGACAGAGCAAAAAGAACAUGAAUCAUGAUUCUGGAAAAUAGGCUAAGGAUCAACAACAACAGAGCUGCUGAUCAACCAAAGUGCCUUCGCUGACAUCACCCCUAACAAUGCUAUUAUGGGCCACCCCGUAAGACAGUGCAGUCAAUAAGGUGUCUUGUGCCUAGAGAUAAAACAGAGAGAUCUUAUCUCGCCAAGAACAAUUAGACACAUCAAAUUACUUCCUAAAAACCAUACUGCAGUGAACCGGGUGCAUACCGAUGCCAGAGUCUGAUCCCCAGCAUCCCAGCUGCUCAAGGGAAGCAAAGAUGCUCAUCCUGCUGGGUUCGCCACACCCCACAUCCCCAGUACAUUUGGCUCCAGCCCUCAUCUUGCAUGUAUAAAGGAAUAUUGGAAUCAUCUGAGGGACUGCACAUUCUCACUGCUGUAAAUACUGAAUGCCAAUCAACUGAAUGCCAGCCUCACCUUAAAGGAGUUCUUCCCGCAUGGAUUACCCACGCUCACUGCCCAGCUUGAUCUCAUUCCUUCAGUGGAUGAAGCAAAUGACUCAGCCCAGAGGGAGCGGGUUAUUGACUAAGUGCUUAAUUAGGCGCACAUCCCAGAUGUGGUCAUUCUUGUACACUCAGAACGACUGGACCGUGGUGUGGUAAAACCAUGAAUCCGGCUAACUCUCAUUUGCUUGAGCCACAGUGGAAUCAAUGGGGCAGCAAUCUAAAUUAAACAUUAACACAGCCA